rnacentral:piRNA from 1 species
UGCCGAAAGAGUCGUCAUUGCCUGCCAAGU